CAGGACGAACGCUGGCGGCGCGCCUAACACAUGCAAGUCGAACGGAGCUUAUAUUUCAGAAGUUUUCGGAUGGACGGGAGAUAAGUUUAGUGGCGGACGGGUGAGUAACACGUGAGCAACCUGCCUUUCAGAGGGGGAUAACAGUUGGAAACGACUGCUAAUACCGCAUAACGCUGCGAUGGGGCAUCCCGAUGCAGCCAAAGGAGCAAUCCGCUGGAAGAUGGGCUCGCGGCCGAUUAGCUAGUUGGUGGGGCAACGGCCCACCAAGGCGACGAUCGGUAGCCGGACUGAGAGGUUGAUCGGCCACAUUGGGACUGAGACACGGCCCAGACUCCUACGGGAGGCAGCAGUGGGGGAUAUUGCACAAUGGAGGAAACUCUGAUGCAGCGACGCCGCGUGAGGGAAGACGGUCUUCGGAUUGUAAACCUCUGUCUUUGGGGAAGAAAAUGACGGUACCCAAAGAGGAAGCUCCGGCUAACUACGUGCCAGCAGCCGCGGUAAUACGUAGGGGGCAAGCGUUAUCCGGAUUUACUGGGUGUAAAGGGAGCGUAGACGGCAGGGCAAGUCUGGAGUGAAAGCCCGGGGCCCAACCCCGGGACUGCUUUGGAAACUGCCA
rnacentral:rRNA from 1 species